rnacentral:sRNA from 1 species
CUCCCUGGGCCCCGGUCCUGCUGCUGGCGCUCGGGCUGCGCGGCCUCCAGGCGGGGACCCGCAGGGCCCUGGACCCCGGCUUCCAGGAGCGCUUCUUCCAGCAGCGUCUGGACCACUUCAACUUCGAGCGCUUCGGCAACAAGACCUUCCCCCAGCGCUUCCUGGUGUCGGGUGAGACCCCGACCCCGGCCCGGCCGCCCCUGCCGUCCCGCCGCCCCCCAGCACCGUCGCCUCAUGCGCCCUCCCCACAGACAGGUUCUGGAUCCGGGGCGAGGGGCCCAUCUUCUUCUACACUGGGAACGAGGGCGACGUGUGGGCCUUCGCCAACAACUCGGGCUUCGUCGCGGAGCUGGCGGCCGAGCAGGGGGCUCUACUGGUCUUCGCGGAGCACCGCUACUACGGGAAGUCGCUGCCGUUCGGUGCGCAGUCCACGCGGCGCGGGCACACGGAGCUGCUGACGGUGGAGCAGGCCCUGGCCGACUUCGCAGAGCUGCUCCGCGCGCUACGGCGCGACCUCGGGGCCCAGGAUGCCCCCGCCAUCGCCUUCGGUGGAAGUUAUGGGGGGAUGCUCAGCGCCUACCUGAGGAUGAAGUAUCCCCACCUGGUGGCGGGGGCGCU